rnacentral:rRNA from 1 species
UACGUAGGGCGCAAGCGUUAUCCGGAAUUAUUGGGCGUAAAGAGCUCGUAGGCGGUUUGUCGCGUCUGCCGUGAAAGUCCGGGGCUCAACUCCGGGAUCUGCGGUGGGUACGGGCAGACUAGAGUGAUGUAGGGGAGACUGGAAUUCCUGGUGUAGCGGUGAAAUGCGCAGAUAUCAGGAGGAACACCGAUGGCGAAGGCAGGUCUCUGGGCCGACUACUGACGCUGAGAAGCGAAAGCAUGGGGAGCGAACAGG